AUUGAACGCUGGCGGCAUGCCUUACACAUGCAAGUCGAACGGCAGCACGGGAGCAAUCCUGGUGGCGAGUGGCGAACGGGUGAGUAAUAUAUCGGAACGUGCCCAGUCGUGGGGAUAACGUAGCGAAAGCUACGCUAAUACCGCAUACGAUCUAUGGAUGAAAGCGGGGGAUCGCAAGACCUCGCGCGAUUGGAGCGGCCGAUAUCAGAUUAGGUAGUUGGUGAGGUAAAGGCUCACCAAGCCGACGAUCUGUAGCUGGUCUGAGAGGACGACCAGCCACACUGGAACUGAGACACGGUCCAGACUCCUACGGGAGGCAGCAGUGGGGAAUUUUGGGACAAUGGGCGCAAGCCUGAUCCAGCAAUGCCGCGUGCAGGAUGAAGGCC
rnacentral:rRNA from 1 species